UACGGAGGGAGCUAGCGUUGUUCGGAUUUACUGGGCGUAAAGGGCGCGUAGGCGGCAAUUCAAGUCAUCUGUGAAAUCUCCGGGCUUAACUCGGAACGGUCAGAUGAUACUGCUUUGCUCGAGUGCGGAAGGGGCAAUCGGAAUUCUUGGUGUAGCGGUGAAAUGCGUAGAUAUCAAGAGGAACACCUGAGGUGAAGACGGGUUGCUGGGCCGACACUGACGCUGACAGCGCGAAAGCCAGGGGAGCAAACGGG
rnacentral:rRNA from 1 species